UCCAGCGCGGCGGAGGGCGCCCCCUAGAACGCAGAGGGGGGGCAGAGGGAAGUGAGAUGGGGACUACGGGGUCUCCAGUGGUUCAAACCCUGUCGUUCCUCCGCGUUACAGAGCUACAGCGGUCUCCGGGUGGCGAAGUGCGGAGACGGGGUUUUGGAGACGGUGGAUGGAGGAGGGGGAGGGAAAGCUGCCAACUUUGGAUACCAACCCCGUACACCCACCGAAGGGGAUGUCCCACUUUUUCCAGCGCUGGGAGCAAAAAGAUAACAGUGAGCGAGGUUGAAAACACCUGACAGUGAAAAGAGCAAUUUGAAGAAAAACAAAAUUUAUCUUCAAUGUGAAAAGCAAUUUAUAAAAAUCCGAAUACUUGCCAGGAGCAACUUGACAAAAAAGACAAAGGUGGUAGAAGAAAUGUAACCAGCCCACAAUUCCAAUGUUGAUAACAGAUGAGCUCCCUUUCAAGGUGACUGACAUUUACACAAGUACACAGAGCAAGAAGAAGGUCUGAGUGAACUGCCAAGCAUUUUAACUUCUCCUGAGACCAAGUACAUCAACAGUUCUCUUGGAAAAGAACAACUGAUUUGGGAGUCUAGCAGACUGCCAGCUGCAAGACAUUCAUCCAGCAUCAGGAACACAAUGGGCCUUCAUUUGCCUGCCUUUCUGAGGGCACCAAUCAAAAGGAGUCUACUCCUAUGUAAAUCUUCUGCAGGUUGUGCAGUGGACUUCACCUAGUCUCCCAUCUCCAGCUAAUUUGGCCAAGAAUAGUCACCUGGCGCAAGGUGGGGAGGGAGCUCUCAAUUGGCCAGCAACUUCUGACGUGUGACCUGACUGAACAAUGAGAGGCUCGAGUGAAAUUACCAGCUGGUAGUAGGACAGAGGAUAUAGAUACAUGGAAUGGAGCUGAGCCAAAUUAAUGACAAAGGACUAGACAAGAAUGACUGUUGAUGAUCACCUAUGCUGAGAUCACAAAGCUGCCCCGAGUCCAGAAGCAGGACUUCAGCCCUAGGGGCAUUGCCAGAGCGUUUCAAAGAGGUUGCUACCGGUACUACAACAAGUACAUCAACGUGAAGAAGGGGAGCAUCUCUGGGUUUACCAUGGUGCUGGCAGGCUAGAUGCUCUUCAGCUACUGACUUUCCUACAAGGAGCUCAAGCACCAGCAGCUACUCAAGUAUCACUGAAGAAGAAGGCACACUCCGCACUCCCCCACACGACCUUCUUGGCCCGAGCCCCUCCAUAAGGGAGACAGUCUCGAUAGUUGCUGAAUCCUUUCAUAUUCUAAUGGGAAUUAACCUCCAAGGAAAAGAUGACUGGUAUGUGAAAAAUAAAUAAAUAA
rnacentral:lncRNA from 1 species